rnacentral:rRNA from 1 species
CCUACGGGAGACAGCAGUGAGGAAUAUUGGUCAAUGGGCGAGAGCCUGAACCAGCCAAGUCGCGUGAGGGAGUACUGCCCUAUGGGUUGUAAACCUCUUUUGUCGGGGAACAAAAGCCGGACGUGUCCGGCUGUGAGAGUACCCGCAGAAAAAGCAUCGGCUAACUCCGUGCCAGCAGCCGCGGUAAUACGGAGGAUGCGAGCGGUAUCCGGAUGUAUUGGGUUUAAAGGGUGCGCAGGCGGAUUUUUAAGUCAGCGGUAAAAUCGUGGGGCUCAACCCCAUCCAGCCGUUGAAACUGGGGAUCUAGAGUGUGCGAGAGGUAUGCGGAAUGCGUGGUGUAGCGGUGAAAUGCAUAGAUAUCACGCAGAACCCCGAUUGCGAAGGCAGCAUACCGGUGCACAACUGACGCUCAGGCACGAAAGCGUGGGUAUCGAACAGGAUUAGAUACCCCAGUAGUC